GAUGAACGCUGGCGGCGUGCCUAAUACAUGCAAGUCGAACGCGCAGCGAAAGGUGCUUGCACCUUUCAAGCGAGUGGCGAACGGGUGAGUAACACGUGGAUAACCUGCCUCAAGGCUGGGGAUAACAUUUGGAAACAGAUGCUAAUACCGAAUAAAACUUAGUAUCGCAUGAUACAAAGUUAAAAGGCGCUACGGCGUCACCUAGAGAUGGAUCCGCGGUGCAUUAGUUAGUUGGUGGGGUAAAGGCUUACCAAGACGAUGAUGCAUAGCCGAGUUGAGAGACUGAUCGGCCACAUUGGGACUGAGACACGGCCCAAACUCCUACGGGAGGCUGCAGUAGGGAAUCUUCCACAAUGGGCGCAAGCCUGAUGGAGCAACGCCGCGUGUGUGAUGAAGGCUUUCGGGUCGUAAAGCACUGUUGUAUGGGAAGAAAUGCUAAAAUAGGAAAUGAUUUUAGUUUGACGGUACCAUACCAGAAAGGGACGGCUAACUACGUGCCAGCCGCCGCCGUAA
rnacentral:rRNA from 1 species